CUGUAACUUGAGUUAUGAUUGUUUGGUUUACGAGUUUUUUUUGUAACCUUCAAAACUUUACAUAAUUACACGGAAUUAUAAACGUCUCAAACCGAGCAAAGCGAGUUCACCAGAGGCCCUAAGGAAAGCAAUUGCAGACAUAGACAAUGGCUUGUUUUCGACAAGCAGCGAAGAAAUAUGACAUUAACUACAGUGUUUUGUACAGACAUCACACAUAGCAUGGCACUAAAAAAAAGCGGGAGGGUGGGACAAACUGCUCUGAGUGAAGAUGAGGAAACAACACUGGUCUGUGCCCAGCAGGAUCGGCAGCACGUAGUUGGUGGAGUGGCCCGUCGUCGAGAGCACCCCCUUGCGCUCGGACGUCUUGUACAAGGGGCACACGUAGCGCGCUCUCAGCUGGAGGGCCGCUCGCUCGCACGGCUUCAACCAAAUGAGCGGCAUCCUGUCCACCAGCACUUUGGGCCUCUGCUCUGCCAGCUGCUUCCUGCAAGGGCACACACGUCUCCUUCGUCAGAACUGAACAAGGUGCAUCCGGAUACUCGCUCUGUGUAUCAACCAGGUGGCAAUACAGAAUACGCUUUACAGCGGUGUUUGGGUAUCUGGUGGAUCAGAUAUCAGAUGUACCUAGUAUCCGUUUAAUGGAAAUUUUAAAAUGUCAGUUUUACUUUAUAAAAAAAUACAGUUAGUGGCAGAAACAUGCUUCUUAAAUAAAGCACCAUAAAUUACACGAGUCUUGACGUCACAUAGACUAAUGGCAACAGGAACGCCUGAUGAUGUUGGACCCUUACCUUGCUGCCAGCUCAAUGAUUAAAUUUUGUAGAGUUGAGUUCGGGCAAGGCUUACAGGUUUACUCAGUCAAUUGGCAUAUAUAGAUAAGAUAUUAUUGUACAUUCUUUGUAGCGGCUUUAGAUCAUAAAGUAUUGUUAAUAUUAUUUAUCAGUUUACAAAAUAGUAGAUGUUUGUAAAAGAGUAGGCUUGUGCAAAAUUCGACUGAGUGAAUCAAAUUGAACCUCUGUUUAGGAUUCAAUUUAAAUAAUAAUUUGCCAGAAAAAGUUAAUUGUUACUAAGCUUUAAAACAAUGGAUGCUUAAGUUAUAAGUCUGAAUUUUUUAAUUUUGAAAUUGUGCUUUUUAAUUUCACAAUUACAGAUGAUCAUAACUAAAGCAAAUAGCUGUUUGGUUGGAGUGAUAGGCCACAUUAAUACGAGGAAAACUAUUUACGUGAUUGACUUUUACAUUUUCCAGGGAUUUUAUAGUUUUCUGAAGGUACAUAUGACAUUUAAAUCACUUUGUAACAUUCUCUAAAAUAUACUUUACAGAACACAUUUUUUUUAGGUUUCUACACAUUCAAGAAUAACGAUUUAGGAUACAUUUCACAUGGUAAGUCAUAUAGGUAUUUGUAACACACAAGGAACUUUCUAAAAUCAAUUAUUUAGAUAUCCAUUUCUUUUAGAGUGACAACAGAUAGUAUCAAUAUACAGAGCCAAUGCAAUAACGUGCUGUGUGUAACAACAAGGAAGUGUUUCAUAUGUUUAUUAUUUUUAUUUUUAGUAUUUAUUUUAAUAAUGGGCUAGUUUUGUUGUUUAUUACAAAUGUUGAAAUGAAGUUUGCAACAUUUUUUUACUAUAGUUUUUAAUAUUUCAUGUGACAUUUGAAAAUGCCAAAGUAUUGUUAUUUUUGAAAUAAGUAAAAUCUUUGUUAGAUCUUUUUAUGGAAUGAAAAUAAUUUUUUGUGUAUUAUAUUUUUAUUGCGUGAAUAAAGGUGGUUACUUAAAAGAAU